rnacentral:rRNA from 1 species
UACGUAGGUGACCAGCGUUGUCCGGAUUUCCUGGGCGUAAAGAGCGCGCAGGCGGUCGUUCAAGUCGAGUGUGAAAGCCCCCGGCUCAACUGGGGAGGGUCAUUCGAUACUGAUCGACUUGAAGGCAGGAGAGGGAAGUGGAAUUCCCGGUGUAGUGGUGAAAUGCGUAGAUAUCGGGAGGAACACCAGUGGCGAAGGCGACUUCCUGGCCUGUUCUUGACGCUGAGGCGCGAAAGCUAGGGGAGCAAACGGG